rnacentral:rRNA from 1 species
AUUGAACGCUGGCGGCAUGCCUUACACAUGCAAGUCGAACGGCAGCACGGGUGCUUGCACCUGGUGGCGAGUGGCGAACGGGUGAGUAAUACAUCGGAACGUACCUUAUCGUGGGGGAUAACGCAGCGAAAGUUGCGCUAAUACCGCAUACGCCCUGAGGGGGAAAGCGGGGGACCGUAAGGCCUCGCGCGAUUAGAGCGGCCGAUGUCUGAUUAGCUUGUUGGUGAGGUAAAAGCUCACCAAGGCGAUGAUCAGUAGCUGGUCUGAGAGGACGAUCAGCCACACUGGGACUGGGACACGGCCCAGACUCCUACGGGAGGCAGCAGUGGGGAAUUUUGGACGAUGGGGGCAACCCUGAUCCAGCAAUGCCGCGUGAGUGAAGAAGGCCUUCGGGUUGUAAAGCUCUUUUGUCAGGGAAGAAACAGCAGCUCUAACACAGUCUGCGAAUGACGGUACCUGAAGAAUAAGCACCGGCCAACUACGUGCCAGCCGCCGCAGUAA